UUGGGGUGUGACUGCGUACCUUUUGUAUAAUGGGUCAGCGACUUAUAUUCUGUAGCAAGGUUAACCGAAUAGGGGAGCCGGAGGGAAACCGAGUCUUAAUUGGGCGUUAAGUUGCAGGGUAUAGACCCGAAACCCGGUGAUCUAGCCAUGGGCAGGUUGAAGGUUGGGUAACACUAACUGGAGGACCGAACCGACUAAUGUUGAAAAAUUAGCGGAUGACCUGUGGCUGGGGGUGAAAGGCCAAUCAAACCGGGAGAUAGCUGGUUCUCCCCGAAAGCUAUUUAGGUAGCGCCUCGUGAAUUCAUCUCCGGGGGUAGAGCACUGUUUCGGCUAGGGGGCCAUCCCGGCUUACCAACCCGAUGCAAACUGCGAAUACCGGAGAAUGUUAUCACGGGAGACACACGGCGGGUGCUAACGUCCGUCGUGAAGAGGGAAACAACCCAGACCGCCAGCUAAGGUCCCAAAGUCAUGGUUAAGUGGGAAACGAUGUGGGAAGGCCCAGACAGCCAGGAUGUUGGCUUAGAAGCAGCCAUCAUUUAAAGAAAGCGUAAUAGCUCACUGGUCGAGUCGGCCUGCGCGGAAGAUGUAACGGGGCUAAACCAUGCACCGAAGCUGCGGCAGCGACGCUGAUGCGUUGUUGGGUAGGGGAGCGUUCUGUAAGCCUGCGAAGGUGGCCUGUGAGGGUUGCUGGAGGUAUCAGAAGUGCGAAUGCUGACAUAAGUAACGAUAAAGCGGGUGAAAAGCCCGCUCGCCGGAAGACCAAGGGUUCCUGUCCAACGUUAAUCGGGGCAGGGUGAGUCGACCCCUAAGGCGAGGCCGAAAGGCGUAGUCGAUGGGAAACGGGUUAAUAUUCCCGUACUUGGUGUUACUGCGAAGGGGGGACGGAGAAGGCUAUGUUGGCCGGGCGACGGUUGUCCCGGUUUAAGCGUGUAGGUGUGUGUUCCAGGUAAAUCCGGUUCACUUUAACACUGAGGCGUGAUGACGAGGCACUACGGUGCUGAAGCAACAAAUGCCCUGCUUCCAGGAAAAGCCUCUAAGCAUCAGGUAACAUCAAAUCGUACCCCAAACCGACACAGGUGGUCAGGUAGAGAAUACCAAGGCGCUUGAGAGAACUCGGGUGAAGGAACUAGGCAAAAUGGUGCCGUAACUUCGGGAGAAGGCACGCUGACACGUAGGUGAAGUGAUUUACUCAUGGAGCUGAAGUCAGUCGAAGAUACCAGCUGGCUGCAACUGUUUAUUAAAAACACAGCACUGUGCAAACACGAAAGUGGACGUAUACGGUGUGACGCCUGCCCGGUGCCGGAAGGUUAAUUGAUGGGGUCAGCGCAAGCGAAGCUCCUGAUCGAAGCCCCGGUAAACGGCGGCCGUAACUAUAACGGUCCUAAGGUAGCGAAAUUCCUUGUCGGGUAAGUUCCGACCUGCACGAAUGGCGUAAUGAUGGCCAGGCUGUCUCCACCCGAGACUCAGUGAAAUUGAACUCGCUGUGAAGAUGCAGUGUACCCGCGGCAAGACGGAAAGACCCCGUGAACCUUUACUAUAGCUUGACACUGAACAUUGAGCCUUGAUGUGUAGGAUAGGUGGGAGGCUUUGAAGUGUGGACGCCAGUCUGCAUGGAGCCGGCCUUGAAAUACCACCCUUUAAUGUUUGAUGUUCUAACGUGGACCCGUGAUCCGGGUUGCGGACAGUGUCUGGUGGGUAGUUUGACUGGGGCGGUCUCCUCCUAAAGAGUAACGGAGGAGCACGAAGGUUGGCUAAUCCUGGUCGGACAUCAGGAGGUUAGUGCAAUGGCAUAAGCCAGCUUGACUGCGAGCGUGACGGCGCGAGCAGGUGCGAAAGCAGGUCAUAGUGAUCCGGUGGUUCUGAAUGGAAGGGCCAUCGCUCAACGGAUAAAAGGUACUCCGGGGAUAACAGGCUGAUACCGCCCAAGAGUUCAUAUCGACGGCGGUGUUUGGCACCUCGAUGUCGGCUCAUCACAUCCUGGGGCUGAAGUAGGUCCCAAGGGUAUGGCUGUUCGCCAUUUAAAGUGGUACGCGAGCUGGGUUUAGAACGUCGUGAGACAGUUCGGUCCCUAUCUGCCGUGGGCGCUGGAGAACUGAGGGGGGCUGCUCCUAGUACGAGAGGACCGGAGUGGACGCAUCACUGGUGUUCGGGUUGUCAUGCCAAUGGCACUGCCCGGUAGCUAAAUGCGGAAGAGAUAAGUGCUGAAAGCAUCUAAGCACGAAACUUGCCCCGAGAUGAGUUCUCCCUGAGACUUAGAGUCUCCUGAAGGAACGAUGAAGACGACGACGUUGAUAGGCCGGGUGUGUAAGCGCAGCGAUGAGUUGAGCUAACCGGUACUAAUGAACCGUGAGGCUUAACCUUACAAC
rnacentral:rRNA from 1 species